AGUGAACGCUGGCGGUAGGCCUAACACAUGCAAGUCGAGCGGCAGCACAGUAAGAGCUUGCUCUUACGGGUGGCGAGUGGCGGACGGGUGAGGAAUACAUCGGAAUCUACUUUUUCGUGGGGGAUAACGUAGGGAAACUUACGCUAAUACCGCAUACGACCUACGGGUGAAAGCAGGGGAUCUUCGGACCUUGCGCGAUUGAAUGAGCCGAUGUCGGAUUAGCUAGUUGGCGGGGUAAAGGCCUACCAAGGCGACGAUCCGUAGCUGGUCUGAGAGGAUGAUCAGCCACACUGGAACUGAGACACGGUCCAGACUCCUACGGGAGGCAGCAGUGGGGAAUAUUGGACAAUGGGCGCAAGCCUGAUCCAGCCAUACCGCGUGGGUGAAGAAGGCCUUCGGGUUGUAAAGCCCUUUUGUUGGGAAAGAAAAGCAGCAGGUUAAUACCCCGCUGUUCUGACGGUACCCAAAGAAUAAGCACCGGCUAACUUCGUG
rnacentral:rRNA from 1 species